rnacentral:lncRNA from 1 species
UGAAUGGCUAGGGAUCAAAGAAAUGUGCAGUAAAACUAAGUAGCCUCACUGUAAAUAGCCAAUACACCGUAGGUCAAAGGAUCAGUCACACUACUGCAGUAUCGAAAAAAUCACUGAUGAGUGAGUAGACAUCCAAGUGAUUUCUUGUAUUGGUCAUGCUAAGUACAAGUUAUUCUCUAACAACCACCUUCACUCUCACCCC